UGCCUUGAGGCGUGGCUUCCGGAGCUAACGCGUUAAGUCGACCGCCUGGGGAGUACGGCCGCAAGGUUAAAACUCAAAUGAAUUGACGGGGGCCCGCACAAGCGGUGGAGCAUGUGGUUUAAUUCGAUGCAACGCGAAGAACCUUACCUACUCUUGACAUCCAGAGAACUUAGCAGAGAUGCUUUGGUGCCUUCGGGAACUCUGAGACAGGUGCUGCAUGGCUGUCGUCAGCUCGUGUUGUGAAAUGUUGGGUUAAGUCCCGCAACGAGCGCAACCCUUAUCCUUUGUUGCCAGCGGUCCGGCCGGGAACUCAAAGGAGACUGCCAGUGAUAAACUGGAGGAAGGUGGGGAUGACGUCAAGUCAUCAUGGCCCUUACGAGUAGGGCUACACACGUGCUACAAUGGCGCAUACAAAGAGAAGCGACCUCGCGAGAGCAAGCGGACCUCAUAAAGUGCGUCGUAGUCCGGAUUGGAGUCUGCAACUCGACUCCAUGAAGUCGGAAUCGCUAGUAAUCGUAGAUCAGAAUGCUACGGUGAAUACGUUCCCGGGCCUUGUACUCCCCGCCCCGUCAA
rnacentral:rRNA from 1 species